rnacentral:misc_RNA from 1 species
GAUGAAGAACGCAGCGAAAUGCGAUAAGUAGUGUGAAUUGCAGAAUUCAGUGAAUCAUCGAAUCUUUGAACGCACAUUGCGCCCCCUGGUAUUCCGGGGGGCAUGCCUGUCCGAGCGUCAUUGCUGCCCUCAAGCACGGCUUGUGUGUUGGGCCCCGUCCUCCGAUCCCGGGGGACGGGCCCGAAAGGCAGCGGCGGCACCGCGUCCGGUCCUCGAGCGUAUGGGGCUUUGUCACCCGCUCUGUAGGCCCGGCCGGCGCUUGCCGAUCAACCCAAAUUUUUUAUCCAGGUUGACCUCGGAUCAGGUAGGGAUACCCGCUGAACUUAAGCAUAUCAAUAAGCGGAGGA